UGCAGUCGUACGAGAGUUUUUACUCAACUGGCGGACGGGUGAGUAACACGUAAGAAUUUACCUUUAGGAGGGGGAUAACAACUGGAAACGGUUGCUAAUACCCCAUAUGCUUUCGAGUGAAAUGGAUUUUCCGCCUAAAGAGAAGCUUGCGGCUGAUUAGCUUGUUGGUGAGGUAAUGGCUCACCAAGGCGACGAUCAGUAUCUGGUUUGAGAGGACGAUCAGACACACUGGAACUGAGACACGGUCCAGACUCCUACGGGAGGCAGCAGUAGGGAAUUUUCCGCAAUGGGCGAAAGCCUGACGGAGCAAGACCGCGUGAGGGAGGAAGGCUCUUGGGUUGUAAACCUCUUUUCUCAGGGAAGAAGAUCUGACGGUACCUGAGGAAUCAGCCUCGGCUAACUCCGUGCCAGCAGCCGCGGUAAUACG
rnacentral:rRNA from 1 species